GACAGAGGAUGCAAGCGUUAUCCGGAAUGAUUGGGCGUAAAGCGUCUGUAGGUGGCUUUUCAAGUCCGCCAUCAAAUCCCAGGGCUCAACCCUGGACAGGCGGUGGAAACUACCAAGCUGGAGUACGGUAGGGGCAGAGGGAAUUUCCAGUGGAGCGGUGAAAUGCAUUGAGAUCGGAAAGAAUACCAACGGCGAAAGCACUCUGCUGGGCCGACACUGACACUGAGAGACGAAAGCUAGGGGAGCAAAUGGG
rnacentral:rRNA from 1 species